rnacentral:rRNA from 1 species
UACAGAGGGUGCGAGCGUUAAUCGGAGUAACUGGGCGUAAAGGGCACGUAGGCGGUUAUAUUAGUCUGAUGUGAAAGCCCUGGGCUCAACCUGGGAACUGCAGUGGAUACUGGCGAGCUAGAGUGUGAUAGAGGAUGGUGGAAUUCCCGGUGUAGCGGUGAAAUGCGUAGAGAUCGGGAGGAACACCAGUGGCGAAGGCGGCCAUCUGGAUCAACACUGACGCUGAGGCACGAAGGCCAGGGGAGCAAACGGG